rnacentral:lncRNA from 1 species
GAAUUCACCUCUUCAUUCACAUGAAGGCAGGAGUUGGUAUUUGCAAACCUGAUAUCAAAGUCAAUUCACUACCAUGGGAGAGUGAUUUAAGAGUUCUACUUGGGAGAAGUGGUUGGUAAAAAUCUCAAACCAAGUUGUUUCAUCCUGUUGUUGAUACAUCCAGUUUAGAGGUUAUACUAGAAAAGCUAGGGGUAUCAUCCCAAGACAGAUGUUGUCAUAAGAAAAUACAGAAGUCUAGGCAUCAACUCAUUUAUUCAGUCAAUAAAUAUUAAUCGGAUGCUUACCCAGUCAAAGUACCAAACAUGGAGAGAAAGCUAGAUCUUUAAUCGCAAAGACACUGUGUGAGCAAUAUAGGAGAAGAAGAACUGAGUGGGCGUGUAUAUUUUUGUAAUGGAAGACUAGUAGUAUAGUUUCAGGAAGAAGGCUAUAGAAGCCAACUGGCUUGUCUGAUCAUUUAACGGUUUAGUCUUUGAAAGACUUUGAGGGAACUUGCUGUAUCUCCCUGAGCCAACAUUGGAUCCCUCCUAACGUUUACUUAUUACUUCAUCUUAGUGCUUUUUAUUUACUUAGAUUAAAAAAAAAAACAGUUUUAAGGAGGAUAGAAACUUGGCAGAGAUUACCCUUCAAGGCGUGAUUUAGAUACAACUCCAUCUUUUUUUCUCCAUGCUUACCUCACGGAGCUGUCAUUAAGAUUUAUUCCCCAGCACAGCAAGAAGAUGCGCCUGUGACCCUUUUCAAACUUACUCUCCACUCGGCUUAUGGAGACCAUCAGCUGCAGGACAAAUAUUUUAGUUUGGAUAUGCAUGUCACAAUUAAUAAUAAAAAGGU